CCUGUGACAAAUAAUCAUGUGUAGAACCUAGAUAAAAUAUCUCUAUUUAUUGCAAAUCACAAAAAAUUUUAAAAUUACUCCUAAAAAAAUGAAUACUGGGUUCAAAAGGCUCCCUCUCAAAAAAUAACUGAAAGAAAAACUGAGGGAUGGGUGAAGUUUUCUUCUACUAAAUAAACAAAAUAACAAAAACUAAAAAUAAACAAAAAUAAAUCUUUUUGUAUUUUUAAAUUUAGUCAAAAACUUACAAAUAAAUAAAAAUGGAUAUCCUAUAGUGCACUUCACCCUAAACAAUCAAAAAAAUCUUCACGCCACACUUAAAAUCAUACUUUGUCCUAAAAUUUCAAAUCAAAUUAAGAACAAGCAUUAGAAAUACUUCCUGAGCCCAUAAUGUGGUCCGAAGGACCCACACUUAUGCUUUCAUUAUGCUCCUUAGUUUAGAUUUUGGUACUCAG
rnacentral:lncRNA from 1 species